AUUGAACGCUGGCGGCAGGCUUCACACAUGCAAGUCGAGCGAGCGGCGGAUGGGUGCGUCAUGUCUGGGAAACUGCCUGAUGGAGGGGGAUAACUACUGGAAACGGUAGCUAAUACCGCAUACCAUCAGAUGUGCCCCGAUGGGAUUAGCUAGUAGGUGGGGUAAUGGCUCACCUAGGCGACGAUCCCUAGCUGGUCUGAGAGGAUGACCAGCCACACAUGAACUGAGACACGGUCCAGACGCCUACGGGAGGGAGCAGCGGGGAAUAUAGCACCAGGGGCGCAAGCCUGAUGCAGCCAUGACGCGUGUGUGAAGAAGGCCUUCGGGUUGUAAAGCACUUUAGGCGAGGAGGCGUUACUCGCAGACGAAGCACCGGCUAACUCCGUGCCAGCAGCCGCGGUAAUUC
rnacentral:rRNA from 1 species